rnacentral:rRNA from 1 species
AGGGCACCACCAGGAGUGGAGCUUGCGGUUUAAUUUGACUCAACACGGGGAAACUUACCCGGCCCGGACACUGGAAGGAUUGACAGAUUGAGAGCUCUUUCUUGAUUCAGUGGGUGGUGGUGCAUGGCCGUUCUUAGUUGGUGGAGCGAUUUGUCUGGUUAAUUCCGAUAACGAACGAGACUCUAGCCUAUUAAAUAGGCUGCUGGUUUUAUAACGCCGGCAGGACUUCUUAGAGGGACAGGUGGCGGUUCAGCCGCACGAAGGAGAGCAAUAACAGGUCUGUGAUGCCCUUAGAUGUCCGGGGCCGCACGCGCGCUACACUGAAGUGAUCAGCGUGCAUGUAUAUUAUGCUGCUCCGUCAGGAGUGGCUAACCCGUUGAACCUUCUUCGUGAUUGGGAUAGGAGAUUGUAAUUAUUCUCCUUGAACGAGGAAUUCCCAGUAAGCGCAUGUCAUAAGCAUGCGUUGAUUAAGUCCCUGCCCUUUGUACACACCGCCCGUCGCUACUACCGAUUGAAUGA